GUAUGGCUCAGUGAUAAGAGCGCUUGCCUCACACGCAAGGCCCUGGGUUCAAUUCCCAGCAC
rnacentral:tRNA from 1 species